UCAGUCGUAGCUCAAUUGGUAGAGCAUUGGACGUUUAAUUCAAAGGUUGUGGGUUUGAAUCCCACCGAUGGAA